rnacentral:misc_RNA from 1 species
ACGCCCCUGUGCCCAUGUCGGGCCGGGAUGGGAACCCGGUCCUGCUAGACAUGGCGUCGUCGGGAUUGUUCAGAGUCUAUCGCGGUCUACUGCUUGACAUAGGCCCCACCAAGUUCGCACCAGACAUUACGGUUUUCCGCUAUCCUCAUCCAGUCUACACCGGCAAUUUUACGUAAAUCGUCGGUCCAGCGGGCAGGAGGAUGUCCCACACUGCGUUUGCAUCCACUCCAGGACACGUUUGCUAAAAUAUAAUACCCACAGUCAUUGAUUUAUUUAUAGUAUAAAGCUUAUACUUUAAAUUUUAAUAUAAUAACAGCAAUGUAAGUAAAAUAUAUAUUUUAAAUUGAUUAAUAAACGAAAAUAUUUGUUCACCAGUAAAACAUU